AGUGAACGCUGGCGGUAGGCCUAACUCAUGCAAGUCGAACGGCAGCACAGUAAGAGCUUGCUCUUACGGGUGGCGAGUGGCGGACGGGUGAGGAAUACAUCGGAAUCUACUUUUUCGUGGGGGAUAACGUAGGGAAACUUACGCUAAUACCGCAUACGACCUACGGGUGAAAGCAGGGGAUCUUCGGACCUUGCGCGAUUGAAUGAGCCGAUGUCGGAUUAGCUGGUUGGCGGGGUAAAGGCCCACCAAGGCGACGAUCCGUAGCUGGUCUGAGAGGAUGAUCAGCCACACUGGAACUGAGACACGGUCCAGACUCCUACGGGAGGCAGCAGUGGGGAAUAUUGGACAAUGGGCGCAAGCCUGAUCCAGCCAUACCGCGUGGGUGAAGAAGGCCUUCGGGUUGUAAAGCCCUUUUGUUGGGAAAGAAAAGCAGCAGGUUAAUACCCCGCUGUUCUGACGGUACCCAAAGAAUAAGCACCGGCUAACUUCGUG
rnacentral:rRNA from 1 species